GACGAACGCUGGCGGCGUGCUUAACACAUGCGAGUCGAACGGAAAGGCCCUGCUUGCCGGGUACUCGAGUGGCGAACGGGUGAGUAACACGUGGGUGAUCUGCCCUGCACUUCGGGAUAAGCCUGGGAAACUGGGUCUAAUACCGGAUAGGAGCCAUUUUUAGUGUGAUGGUUGGAAAGUUUUUUCGGUGUAGGAUGAGCUCGCGGCCUAUCAGCUUGUUGGUGGGGUAAUGGCCUACCAAGGCGGCGACGGGUAGCCGGCCUGAGAGGGUGGACGGCCACAUUGGGACUGAGAUACGGCCCAGACUCCUACGGGAGGCAGCAGUGGGGAAGAUUGCACAAUGGGCGCAAGCCUGAUGCAGCGACGCCGCGUGGGGGAUGACGGCCUUCGGGUUGUAAACGCCUUUCGCUAGGGACGAAGCUUUUUGUGACGGUACCUAGAGAAGAAGCACCGGCUAACUACGUG
rnacentral:rRNA from 1 species